rnacentral:rRNA from 1 species
GAUGAACGCUGGCGGCGUGCCUAAUACAUGCAAGUCGAGCGAACAGAUGAGGAGCUUGCUCCUCUGACGUUAGCGGCGGACGGGUGAGUAACACGUGGAUAACCUACCUAUAAGACUGGGAUAACUUCGGGAAGCCGGAGCUAAUACCGGAUAAUAUAUUGAACCGCAUGGUUCAAUAGUGAAAGACGGUUUUGCUGUCACUUAUAGAUGGAUCCGCGCCGCAUUAGCUAGUUGGUAAGGUAACGGCUUACCAAGGCAACGAUGCGUAGCCGACCUGAGAGGGUGAUCGGCCACACUGGAACUGAGACACGGUCCAGACUCCUACGGGAGGCAGCAGUAGGGAAUCUUCCGCAAUGGGCGAAAGCCUGACGGAGCAACGCCGCGUGAGUGAUGAAGGUCUUCGGAUCGUAAAACUCUGCUAUUAGGGAAGAACAAAUGUGUAAGUAACUAUGCACGUCUUGACGGUACCUAAUCAGAAAGCCACGGCUAACUACGUG